rnacentral:rRNA from 1 species
AACGAACGCUGGCGGCGUGCUUAACACAUGCAAGUCGAACGAGAAAAUCCUGGCUUGCCAGGAUGAGUAAAGUGGCGCACGGGUGAGUAACACGUGAGUAAUCUGCCCCUAAGUCAGGAAUAACAUUGCGAAAGCGAUGCUAAUACCUGGUAAGCCCACGACUUCUUCGGUAGAUGUGGGAAAAGGUGGCCUCUGACAUAAGCUAUCACUUAGGGAUGAGCUCGCGGACCAUUAGCUUGUUGGUAGGGUAAGGGCCUACCAAGGCGAUGAUGGGUAGCUGGCCUGAGAGGGUGGCCAGCCACACUGGGACUGAGACACGGUCCAGGCUCCUACGGGAGGCAGCAGUGGGGAAUCUUGCGCAAUGGGGGAAACCCGGACGCAGCAACGCCGCGUGAGUGACGAAGGCCUUCGGGUCGUAAAGCUCUGUCAGAUGGAAAGAAUUAGUUCGCUGAAAAUAUUGGCGAGUGAUGACGGUACCAUCAGAGGAAACACCGGCUAACUCCGUGCCAGCCGCCGCCGUAAGAC